GCAGGAUGAAGAUGUUGCUGCUGUUGCUACUCAUCAUGAACGUUUCCCAGCAUGCCCUGGCUCCGGUGGUGGAGGUGUAUGAGGGGGAAACAUCUGUCCUGUUGCCUUGCGAGUACUCAGGUUUUAUACCUGAGGACAAUCCCACAGUGCUGUGGACUCGCAGUGAUCUCAACCCCAAAUCUGUCCACCUACGACGAGAGGAAACAGAUGAUCUGAAAGGACAAAACCAGCGUUACAGAGGGCGCACAUCAAUGAGGCCUGAUGCUCUGGACACUUUAGACUUCAGCCUCACUCUGAGAAACCCCCAAAUGACUGAUAGCGGCAACUACACCUGCUCCAUCGGAAAUGAAAGAGAGGAACAGAAACUGACUGACAUACAGCUGCAUGUCAAAGACCAACAGGUGGAGGUGAAGGUCACUGAAGGAUCAGAGUCUGUCAUCCUGCCAUGCAAAACAAUACCUGACCUGCCUGAGGACACCACAGUGGAGUGGAUGAGAUUUGACCGAGAAAUCACGAUGGUCCAUGGGUAUUCAAAUGGAAGUGACCAACUUAAGAACCAAGACGACCUUUACUGUGGUCGAACAAAGAUGAACAAAGACCUGCUGAGAACUGGAGACCUCAGUCUGACCCUGAAAUACCCCACAGAGAGAGACAGUGGAGGAUACAUCUGCACUGUCUACAGGGACAAAGACAUCCUGAG
ensembl:lncRNA